AGUGAACGCUCGCGGUAGGCCUAACACAUGCAAGUCGAACGGCAGCACAGUAAGAGCUUGCUCUUACGGGUGGCGAGUGGCGGACGGGUGAGGAAUACAUCGGAAUCUACUUUUUCGUGGGGGAUAACGUAGGGAAACUUACGCUAAUACCGCAUACGACCUACGGGUGAAAGCAGGGGAUCUUCGGACCUUGCGCGAUUGUAUGAGCCGAUGUCGGAUUAGCUAGUUGGCGGGGUAAAGGCCCACCAAGGCGACGAUCCGUAGCUGGUCUGAGAGGAUGAUCAGCCACACUGGAACUGAGACACGGUCCAGACUCCUACGGGAGGCAGCAGUGGGGAAUAUUGGACAAUGGGCGCAAGCCUGAUCCAGCCAUACCGCGUGGGUGAAGAAGGCCUUCGGGUUGUAAAGCCCUUUUGUUGGGAAAGAAAAGCAGCAGGUUAAUACCCCGCUGUUCUGACGGUACCCAAAGAAUAAGCACCGGCUAACUUCGUG
rnacentral:rRNA from 1 species